UUAUUCUUGAACUCCUCUCUAGCCAUCAUCAUGCAUUGCUUGGAGUGAACUAGGGUUUCAAACUAGGUUGGAUCUGGGACUUCGCAUCUGAGGCAUGAACAGAGAUUCGAGGCUUGCAUGAACUCAAUUUUUUGCUCACUAUGUGAUUCCUUCAUGUAGAAACUCUUUGCUUUUAAGUCGUUGUCUUUCUGCGAAAAAGGCCAUGUUUGUUUGAAAAGACAUGUUUUCAAAAAAAAAGAAACCCUGGUGAUUCCUUGGAGAAGACAAUGAGGCACUUGGAUUCCAGGAGAUGUUGAUCGACUAUCAAAAUGAACUUGUCAACCUUUUCAGGCAAUGACGGGUUCCUUAUCUCUUCUUCACAUACCCCUCUUAUUUCUUAUAUGUUUACAGUUCUAUGUUGGUGUACUUGUCUUAGCUAUUCCCACAGCUUGUGUGGGAUUUCAUGAACAGUUUGAUCUAUAUAAAUAAAAAUGUGUUACAUGCAAAUGUUUUAUUCA